UGUGGAAAAAAAAACGUUAAGUCCGAAAUGCAACCAGUCUCACAUUUCUUUAUUCGAAACUAAAAGAGGCAGAUGAGAAUUGCACUCGAGCGAACAUUUUAAAGUUUGCAACACUGUCCUAAACGGCUGUUUCGUAUUGUUGUAGGAGUAGUCAAGUGUACAGCUCAACCAAGCAAGUGUGUACCUUUCACCACGGGAAGAUGGAAAUGCCUAACGAUCUUAGCGGACUUUUCUAGCGAAACAGUGUACGAGAGUGCACGACAGUUUUUUCGUCGAAAAUCUAACGGUAUUUCUUUCUCUGAAUAUUUUUUAAAUCGACAAUAGGUCGUAAUAACUGUGGCAGUAUUUUUGCUUUCUGAUUUGUAAGAAUCAACGCGUGCUGUGUAUCUGAAAGCAUAGCAUACAGCUUUGCUUAGUGAGGAAAUCAAAUUUUUCCAGCAGUGUUCCACAUGCUGUUUAUUAAUGACAAUUUUUUUUUUACGUACGGAUUAUAUCGUUAAUUGUAACAAGCGUGUUGAUAAACUUUGAAUUUAAUUUAUAUACAAGAAGAGUAAUAUGCAUCCUUUAGCCAAAAGCCGUUUAAGGAAGAUUUAUAUGAAAACAUGGUUAACCGGAUAUUUGUCAAAUUACAAUUGUUUUUGCCAACUUUAACUGCAAAAUUGAGGUAGAACAAACACUUGUCCCUGAUCCUUUUUUAAGAGAUUUUCAAUCCCUAUUGAUACUUUUCAUUGCUUUUUAUUCGUGUAUUCAAUUUAUCUUAAAAUUUUGUGUUGUCUUUUUCCACUCUUUGUUGUUCAAUUGCUUCUACUGCUGGCAGCUUGAACCCAAAUCAUUUGAUUUCGAUAAAUAAUAUUAAUUAUUUUGAAUUGAAACACUACAUAAAUCUAUAUUCUAUUGUACGUUUCACAUCAAAGUGAUAAACGACGGCAAAAAUUACUUGUAUCUAAUUAGACGUUUAUUACCUAUAAAUCCCAAUUGAAUCAAAUAAAAUAAAUAUUGUCAGAGGGAAAUGUCUUCCCCUAAAGCGAUGGGGACCGCACCCUCAUCCGCGGGGCAUGAACGGGCAUUUUUCAACCACUAAGUUGACUGCCCCACUUUGAAACUUUCCGGUUUGGAAAUUAGAUCAGCAUUUGUUAAACAAUUCAAAUGGAAGCUGAAUUGUUAUCCAUGCACAAGGAAAAUUAAAAAAGAAACACGCCGUAUAACAACCAGUUGUUUGUCGCUGACUCUUCACGCAAUAUUUCAACAAUCAAUUUUCCUUCGUUGCUCUGCUCGCAAACAGCGAAACAAACCAAAAACCAAAAUAAUUUGGGAUUUUUGAACUUUCUUUAUCCAGGAUUUACUACAGUCAGGACAGAAAAUUUCUUUGAACAAGUAAAGUAUAGUCUAAUGGAACACAUUUAAAGGAAACUUUGGAAUAGUUAAUUCUUAUAAUAACACAUCGAACAUGCGUUACUGGUAAACAACUAAUAUUCACUCGAGUAUCAAGGACCUAAAUCCAAAAGGAAACACACCAAGCAUAGAUGUUCAGGAGAGAGAAACCUGCUCCGUGCUGAACGCGAGAAUAUUGGGAACCAAACUGAACCUCAUUUCACCAGGUUAUGGCAGCUUAGACGCCAGGGAAAGGAGGCCGACCCUUACGAACCGCUAUCAACCACUGGAAAGGACGAAAGGACGAUUUUUUUCUUCUUCUUCUUCUUUUUCUUUUUCUUGUCAUUAAUUCGAUUUCUUCGCUUUGCUCUUUCCAGUACAUUUACUUUGGAGAAAGCAGUAUGAAAAGAAAGGAAACGUUUCUCACUGUUCUACUAUUCGUGCUCAUCAGGAAUCAACCUCAAUAUCCAUCAUUCGUUAAAGAAUCACUAAGCCUUUGGCUGUAAAGGUAGGUCGGCUUAGAUGCGAGAUUGAUGGAAGCACGAAAUAUUACCGUUGCUAUUACAACAUCCAUACAGAAGUCUAAAAUAUCAAACGAAACAAUCUGAAUUUAUCCGCCAAAGACGUCUUCUAAACUUCACUUUCAUCUUUAACGUUUUGGGUCGACAGGCCAUAUUUAAAAAAUCUCGUGAAUAUUCACUUGCAAUCCGUUGAUGGACUCACCUGAAACUUCUCUAGGACGUCAUUUGGAGUGAAAUACAUUCCAAAACAUAACUAUUGGAUUUAAAAAUAAACUUAAUACAGGACAAAUAAAA